rnacentral:lncRNA from 1 species
GAUAAUUUGUAAUAUACUCUGUUGCAAAAAAAUAAUGCAUUGCUAAAAAUUAGAGUAAGAACUGUGAAACUCUUUACAAAUGCUUUUUCAGCUAUAUAUAUACAAAUUUCAUUGCUAAUGAACAUACAGGAAGAAAGAACAUGAGAAGAGCAAAUCUGGAAUAUAGGACUAUCCUAUAAGGACUGCCUUUUGUGAGUACAGAUAUAUAGUUUUGCUCUUUCAUUACAUUAAGUAGUCUAUAAGAUGCUUCUAUUUGUCAGCAAGUUUGAGAGGCUGCAUCAUAUGCCUACAACAAACUGUACCAUUUUUUGCAACAGAGUAUUUUCCAAAUUGUAUAUCAAUGAAAAUUUUCACAUAUCUCUAAGAAAAAUUAAAUGGAGAAUGCCUAAAACAACAACUAGAUGUGUAUAUUAUUUUGCAUAUUUUAGAUAUUUUUUAUUUGAUGAUGAUAAUAUAUAGGUAGUCCUCGACUUAGAAUUUGAUGUCAAGAAUUUGCAAUCCUCCUGUCGUAACAUGGAAAAUGGUUGGAAAUAAGAAAUGCCCAAAAGUUAGCAAUUGCCUACUAUCAAUACUUAUUAUUACAUUCUAUUUUAUCAUAAUAAAUUUAACAAAAACAAAAAUGCAGGAACUAUCAUAAAAAAGGAC